UGGGGAAUUUUGGGCAAUGGGGGAAACCCUGACCCAGCAACGCCGUGUGCAGGAUGAAGGCCCUCGGGUCGUAAACUGCUGUCAGAGGGGAAGAAAUGUUUUGCGGCCAAUACCCGCAAGAUUUGACGGUACCCUCAAAGGAAGCGCCGGCUAACUCCGUGCCAGCAGCCGCGGUAAUACGGAGGGCGCAAGCGUUGUUCGGAAUUACUGGGCGUAAAGCGCGUGUAGGCGGUGGAGAAAGUCGGGUGUGAAAUCCCUGGGCUCAACCCAGGAACUGCAUCCGAAACUUCUUCACUAGAGUCUCGGAGGGGAAGGCAGAAUUCCCAGUGUAGGGGUGAAAUCCGUAGAUAUUGGGAGGAAUACCUGUGGCGAAGGCGGCCUUCUGGACGAUGACUGACGCUGAGACGCGAAAGCGUGGGGAGCAAACAGGAUUAGAUACCCUGGUAGUCCACGCCGUAAACGUUGUGCACUAGGUGUCGGGGGAUUUACCCCCUCGGUGCCGGAGCUAACGCAUUAAGUGCACCGCCUGGGGAGUACGGCCGCAAGGCUAAAACUCAAAGGAAUUGACGG
rnacentral:rRNA from 1 species